CAGAAAAUUGAUUUACCGUUAUCCUACACAGUUCCGUACAGUCAAAACUUGUCUUAAUGGUAAUCCUUAUUUCGAGCGAAAAAUAUUGAUUUUCUUUUUCUCUUUGUCUUUCGGUAUUUUGGAGUUUUGAUUCUUAAGUGUUCAACGCCUUUAAAAGGCUCAAUCAUUUGUGAUUUAUAUUAUAUCGAUUAAUUACAGCAGCUACUCCAAAUACUGAGUCUGAACUUGCACACCAAAGAUAUUAGAAACAGUUUUUUUUAGUUAAAAGUCAAUUUUUUCCAUGUUACGUUGGUCAUCAACGUAUACGUUCGGGCUAUUAUGGCUCAUCAUCGGUAGCGAAGCAUUUCAUCUGAAUGCUCUGAAGCAAGAUCAUUUGGAGCGUAUGAAACAAUACGAUGCAAAAAUUCGGCUAGCGAAACAUGAAUUUGAUGAUACAAGUAAUGAAACAAAGUAAAACUUUAUAUUUAUAAUUGGAUUCACUAAUUAGCCUGCCAAAUUAAGUAAGAAACGUCUGUUUCUUUAAAUGGUAUUGAGAAUGUCUUCUUGAGCAACCUCAGUUAAGGAGUCCAGCAUCUUAAUCGUUUCUGGGUUGGUCAAUUUCUGUAGUUGAUAAUGCUUUAAGACAAUCUCCGCAAACGUUCUUGUUGUCUUUUUGGUUGAAUAAUCACGGAAUGCUUUUUCGUAUAAUACUUUGGCAUUUUUAUACAACACAAGUUUGGAGUUUUGAGCUACCAUGAUGGGGAUAGCUGCACGUUGAAUCUCUAAGUCAGCUCUAGAAAUGAGUAUUCUUACAUGAUUAGGAUUGUAAGUGUUAGCCAUCUUUAAACUUUUGGCAGCUACUCCUAACAUAUUCCAGGCUCUAGUCAUUAUUUCAAUAGAUGCGCUUUCUUCUGUAGAUACGCAGGAAUCUAGUAGCGUCUCUGCAAAGUCUAUGUAUGCAUCGGCUUUGUCGCACAGCAAUUGAAUAUGCAAAGGUUUAACAGACGAGUUCGGAUCCAACGGGUUUUGCAAGUUUAGCUGUGGUAAUUGGCUAAGUUGAUGGUCAAAAACUUGCAGUAAAUCAAUCCAUGCCACCUCAUUUUCUUUACCACCAAGUACUAAACGUUUGGUUUUCGCCAAGUACCAGUCCAUUAGCUUUAAUAUAUCGAGUUUUUCCGUAAUCGGUAGCAUUAUCUGACAGAGUUUCUCAAAAUCUGAUUCUUCAAGUAACUUGCAACUGCAUGCUAAAGAAGCAAUUUCGGUAACUAAUGUCGAUGCCUCUUUGUCUGCUUCUAUAAAGUAUAAUCGUCGAGCCUGUAUGUCAGGUAUUUCUUCAUAUUUUUGUUGCGACGAUGUUUGUAUAGUAUUUUCCCAUUCAAUUCUUUCUCGUUCUUGUAAAUCAAUGCUAUGUGAAAUGGAUUGCAGUGCUUGCUGGAUUUCAGGAUAUGCCAAAUCUUCGCGAUCAAGAUCCACCCAAAUCUCAGCCAAAUUAAGAUGAACCUGCGCAAGGUUGAACCAAAUAUCUGGGGCCUCUUGUAAUAAUAAGGCGUGCUUAUGCAUCUCAAUACUUUUCUGGAGGCAUACUUGUGAAUCUUUGUAUAGCAUAUCGCAGUUUGUAGCCAUAUUGAGUAGCAAUCUUGCUUUAUUAAAACGAGCAUCAAAAUCAUUCGGACAUUGUAAUAAAUAUCUAUCAUAUGUUUCAAGGGAUUUUUGAUAAAAUCUUAAACACUAUUGCUUGUUAGUUUUAAUUUCACGUGC